CGGACGGGUGAGUAACGCGUGAGAAUCAGCCUUCAGGAUGGGGAUAACAGAGGGAAACCGCUGCUAAUACCCAAUAAGCCGAGAGGUAAAAAGCAAUGUGCCUGAAGAAGAGCUCGCGUCCGAUUAGUUAGUUGGUGGGGUAAAAGCCUACCAAGGCAGCGAUCGGUAGCUGGUCUGAGAGGAUGAGCAGCCACACUGGGACUGAGACACGGCCCAGACUCCUACGGGAGGCAGCAGUGGGGAAUUUUCCGCAAUGGGCGAAAGCCUGACGGAGCAAUACCGCGUGAGGGAGGAAGGCUUUUGGGUUGUAAACCUCUUUUAUCAAGGAAGAAGAAAGUGACGGUACUUGAAGAAUCAGCAUCGGCUAACUCCGUGCCAGCAGCCGCGGUAAUACGGAGGAUGCAAGCGUUAUCCGGAAUCAUUGGGCGUAAAGCGUCCGCAGGUGGUGGUUCAAGUCUGCUGUCAAAGACAGAAGCUCAACUUCUGAGAGGCAGUGGAAACUGGGCAACUAGAGUACGGUAGGGGUUGAGGGAAUUCCCAGUGUAGCGGUGAAAUGCGUAGAUAUUGGGAAGAACACCAGUGGCGAAGGCGCUCAACUGGGCCGUAACUGACACUCAGGGACGAAAGCUAGGGUAGCGAAAGGGAUUAGAUACCCCUGUAGUCUUAGCUGUAAACGAUGAACACUAGGCGUUGCUUGUAUCGACCCGAGCAGUGCCGUAGCCAACGCGUUAAGUGUUCCGCCUGGGGAGUACGCACGCAAGUGUGAAACUCAAAGGAAUUGACGGGGGCCCGCACAAGCGGUGGAGUAUGUGGUUUAAUUCGAUGCAACGCGAAGAACCUUACCAGAACUUGACA
rnacentral:rRNA from 1 species